rnacentral:rRNA from 1 species
AUACGGAGGAUGCAAGCGUUAUCCGGAUUUAUUGGGUUUAAAGGGUGCGUAGGCGGUUUGCUAAGCGGGAGGUGAAAUGCCGGCGCUCAACGUCGGAAGUGCCUCCCGAACUGGUGGACUUGAAUGACUCUGCCGUGGGAGGAAUGUGUAGUGUAGCGGUGAAAUGCUUAGAGAUUAGACAGAACACCGAUUGCGAAGGCAUCUCACGAAGAGUUGAUUGACGCUGAGGCAAGAAAGCGUGGGGAUCAAACAGGAUUAGAUACCCUGGUAGUCCACGCAGGAAACGGUGAUGGCUAUCCGCUGGUCUUAUCAGUUCAGUGGCCAAGCGAAAGCGAUAAGCCAUCCACCUGGGGAGUACGACCGCAAGGUUGAAACUCAAAUGAAUUGGCGGGG